AUGGUGGCUACGGAAUCGAGACACAGGUGAAUUAAUACUCCGUUAAUAGUGGUGCUCGAGGUUACAAGGGUGUUUCAAAAAUGUCAGGGAUUACUCUUUGUGGAUGAUAGACAUUGGAAUGAUAAAUUGGAUAAUGUGGUUUCUGUCCCUCUUAUACAAGAGUUCAAGUACAGAAUCCUUCCUAUUAUUGCAAAGAUAAUAAAAAUGUACAGAGAAAGCUAUAUCUUGGUCAAGGU
rnacentral:lncRNA from 1 species